rnacentral:snoRNA from 1 species
AAUGUGGUUAAUGAUGCAUAUUCUUUUUUCCCCAUCUUAUCGACAAUGGUGAAAACCAGUUGAAAAUAAGCCAACAAUGACUGAAACCACAUC